GAACUACGUGUCCCAUGAUGCCUCGCUUUCCUAAUGACCAAAUGGAACCCAGCGGUCGAGCCGUUCUGACAGCUGAGCUCGAAGUUUGCUGAGGGGAGCUCGAGCGCCGACCGCGACCUUGAACAAACACGAAUUAAAUGACCAUGACACAGCAGAGGAGCCGGCCGGCGAGGCAGCACUAGCAGCACAGCGCGUUGAGCUGAAGGGGAUCGGCCUGUUCCACACAGCAUCACGUGAGGAAACCUGCGUCUGCAGCCCCACAUUUGUCUCGUCUCAGCACAGAAGCUUUCAUCUGGUUGUCACUGUGUAAACGCUACUGAACUGAACCUAGCCAUGUUUCUUCUGCCUACUAGUGCCACUCUGUGCACAAUAACAUGCGGUGAGUUACUGAUAAAAAGUAUUUUAGGUUUGUUUGUGUUUUAGCUUAAUACAUUUCCAGCCUUUGUGUCUUUGAACCCACCAUGUUGACCCAUGUCCCAAAGCCAUUUCUAGUUUCUGUUUCGUUCCUCCCCAAACUCAAGUGUGACAACGUGAAGGAUUUGUUGCCUGUUGCUGACAACGCAAACGUGUGCAAUUAGUUUCAUAGAAGAGAUUGUGCGACUGACAUCACAGUGAAGUGACUCAUUUGCAUGCGUUUCACCUUUCUGCCUUUGUGCUGAGGGUCACAUGUUUCAGGUGAAAGUGUGGAAUAAAGGCCCCCAGGGCUCGGUGGGUGUUUGGGUUUCUAGGAACCUUCUCUUCACGGUGGGACUUCUGUCCAGAUAUAACUCUCCCAGUUGUCAGGGUGACAUUCCUGCUCACGGCGAGGUCGACUGUAGACCAGCAGCGUUUCCCAAGCUCUUUCCCCCUGUCUGUUCUGGUUGAUCUGACUGUGCUGGACCUUAUGCACCAGAACGUCAUUCUCUGCAAACUAUAUAUUUAAUUACUCAAAUUUAAGUGGGAUCUUCAUCCUGUUGCACGCUUAAGUUUUUAUCUCAGUUACGUGAUACUUAUCAGUUUGUUUCCUGUGAAUUUUCCUCUGUCAUGAUGGGAUCUUCAGUAUUUGUUUGAUCGGUGUGUAUUUUGAUCAUGAUGCCGGCUUUAUGUUUCCACUGUACCUCACAUUGGAACAUGUGUUGAAGAGAUGAAGAAGAGAAGAUGAUGGACGUCAGCAAAGUUCAAAUUCAACAACAUGGGUGUUGUAUGAACAUGAUCCAAAAGGAUGUCAGUAAGAAGACACCGGGCUUCACUGACAGCCAUUGUUUGAGCGUGAAAUCUCCCUUCUCCAGCUCCUUUAUGCACAAUAUCACAAAAUGACGAAUAAACGUGCCCUUUAUUGGCAGUUGGCUCAGUAAGUAUAUAUAGAUUAUAAAUGAUUAACCAUUCUCCUCGGUCAGCACUGGGCCAGGCCAUGUGGUUCAGGACGCUCUCAUUUUCCAAAGGCUGCAUGACUUCAUUUAUGGCAGGAUGACGAUCAGUCAGUCUGAUGAUAAAAAGUGAUUUUCACUUCUUGAAAAGAGUGAAACGCUAACGAUAUCUGUUUGCGACAUAGACUGACGGUACUCGCUUCUGAAGGGCCUAUUGUGGAAAUAUUGGGUCAUAAACGUAUCUGGUUUGUAGCGGCAGGUUACUGGUGUCGACUGGUUAAUUAGACUGUGUCCUGGUGUGAUGAAUGCCGGCUUAUCUCUGGAUUAUGAAUAUCAUGUGCUCAGUUGAUGAUGUUUGGGUCUUUCCACAGAGUGAGGUGAUGUGAGGUGAUGUUGAUGGGUGAAGUGAUGGAACUUUUAACAAACUUUCCAUCUGUUGUUGAGUAUUAGAUGAUUUCCUGUACUGGUGAACAAUGAAAACACAUUCACAACUGGUUUAGAGACAUAUCUGUUUUA